rnacentral:rRNA from 1 species
AGUGAACGCUGGCGGUAGGCCUAACACAUGCAAGUCGAACGGCAGCACAGCAAGAGCUUGCUCUUACGGGUGGCGAGUGGCGGACGGGUGAGGAAUACAUCGGAAUCUACUUUUUCGUGGGGGAUAACGUAGGGAAACUUACGCUAAUACCGCAUACGACCUACGGGUGAAAGCAGGGGAUCUUCGGACCUUUCGCGAUUGAAUGAGCCGAUGUCGGAUUAGCUAGUUGGCGGGGUAAAGGCCCACCAAGGCGACGACCCGUAGCUGGUCUGAGAGGAUGAUCAGCCACACUGGAACUGAGACACGGUCCAGACUCCUACGGGAGGCAGCAGUGGGGAAUAUUGGACAAUGGGCGCAAGCCUGAUCCAGCCAUACCGCGUGGGUGAAGAAGGCCUUCGGGUUGUAAAGCCCUUUUGUUGGGAAAGAAAAGCAGCAGGUUAAUACCCCGCUGUUCUGACGGUACCCAAAGAAUAAGCACCGGCUAACUUCGUG